GGCCCAAUAGUCUAAUGGCAGAACAACUCUUUCACGUGGAGUGAGCCGGGGUUCGAUUCCCUGUUGGGCCA
rnacentral:tRNA from 1 species